GAAAGUGCAAACGAUACGAAACGAUUACGAUUAAGGAUGUAAGUGGAGGAAACUACGCGAACGAAGGAUACGAAGGAAGGAAGGAAGGAAGGAAGAAGGAAGGAAGGGCGCCGUCGUAGCCCGGGUACCCGUGGCUCCGCCUAUCGGCGCGCCGCCUCGCGGUGGUGAAUACAUUUAGCCUGGUUAGUUUACAAAUGAAUACAGCGAUUGAAGCAACUUAUAAUAUCAAUGUACCUCGGCCCGUCUCGCUCGCACGCCGGGCGCCACCCCUUGCCGCCAUCUCACUUCCACCCACUCUCUCGCGGGGUUCCAUACAGAAUGGCCAUAUUAACUUGAUAAUUAGCUCGGUUAUACGACUUGCAGAUGAGGAAAGACUCGGGACGGACGUCGGCUACCCCUACCAGGAGUGGUGCCAGUGUUCCUUGCUCUGCUCCCUAUGCUAUGCUCGACUCGGCCCGGCUCCUCGUCGCUCGUAGGAUGGAUAUAGAACCCUUAGUUCGUAUUCCUCUCCCUGUCUGCCAGGAACCCCGGUGCGCUCUCUCUGCCCGUAACCUAACCUCCGUACGCGUUUCACGCGCCACGCGCUCCGUGUUCUUCUUCUCCUUUUCGUUCGCUCUCUCCACGCGGUUUCGUUCCACAGUGCGCGUUUCUCCUCGAGUUUCGACCCGAGGAGAGGAAGGAAACCCCGAGUGCUCUUCUCCACGCCGCCGAACGAAGGAAGGAAGGACCAGGAAGGUGGAACAGCUGCCUCGACCCGCUCGACGGAGAAUCUAAAAAUCGAUGAGGGGACGAGAGGAACUGAAGAGAAAGGAAGGAGGAGGAGGAGGAGGAAACCACCAGAAGAUCGUAAUGAUACGUAAGACCGAGUGUAAAUACUACUAUCCGAGAAGGAAGACAGAAAGGAGGAAAAAAUCGUUUCAUCGCUAUUAAAGAAAAUUACGUUGCAAGAGACGGCGGGCAGUCGAUAUAUUUUCAUAAUCGUCGAAUUAUCGUUCGGUCUGCCUGGCUUGCAAAAAAGAUUACCGACAUCCGUCUACCGAUUGAUUUUCGUGGAAGGGCCACACACGCACAAUAACACGUAACGGAUGAACAAGUUGAAAAACCGUUCGUUCGUCCAGCAGAUAUCCGCCAGGAGGAGGCGUCGUCUCGAGGUGAAAGAGGUGGGGAGAAGGUGCGUUCAAAGAAGGAAGAAUCGAAUAGAAAAAGGGAUGAAACGUAUGGAGCGUGAACAAUAUCCCUCGUAAAGAGUCGAGGCUCGAGGCUGGCCCCUGGUAAAUGGAACACGUGUAAGGUGUCACAUCUAUCUGAAAAGUUCAUCGUUACGAAGAUACACGGAUGAAAAGAGUUUCCUAGAAUGUGAGCUAUCUUUGGAACCACCAUGGUGGCGAGUGUGUAAUCGAAGGAAUUGUAGAACACUUUUCUCAUGCAAAUACGCUCCCGAAUACGCAGACCCGUGGAAGGGACAACGAACUUCUUUCGCUCUGCUUAAAACUUCGAACUUGGGUCCUUUUAAAUUUAAAUGCUCUCCCCUCGGCACGGUCGAGCAGCCGUCGCGCGUUCUUCUUCUUCUUUCCUCGCGUCGAUGUCACGAAGAUGGUAAAAAAAAAGAAAAAAGAGAGAGAGAGAGAGAAGAAAAAAAACGCCAAAGGACACGAACCGUACGAUAGUGAUCAUUUUCGGAAUAAGAAAAAAGAAAAAACCGAUCUCUCUCUUCUUCUUUUUUUCUUUUUUUUUUUUAUACAAUUCGAAUAAUAUUCACAUUGUACGCGGAAUUGUAUCGCGAUUAUAUCAACAUAUCUUCGAGAAGAAAAAGAGAUAAGAUUUUCAUGGAGACGGUAAAAAAAAAAAGAAAAAGAAAAAGAAAAACGUUCGACGCGAGCUCGAUUCGAAGGAGAGAAAUUUUCGAGAAAUUGUUUUUUCAUUUUUUUUUCAUCGUUUUCCUUUGGGAAUUUUAACAAUGUACAUAAAAGAUCGCGCCCGUGUUCACGGCUUGGUAAUUAUUGAAACGAAUAAAAUUUUCACUCUGUACGUAAUAAUAAGCGGGCACGCGAAUAUAACCAUAAUAAUUGCGAAAACGUGCCCCCGAAUCGUCGUAAUACAAACGUAUCAAAAAUUAUUAUUUGCCGCUCGAUGUCCAAUGACCAGAAAAAUAUUUGCCCAAAGCGCCGUAUACCGUUGGAUACGGAUCGCAUUUGAAAUUCGAAUUAUUAUAAUUACGGUGUGCGCGAUUAAAAAUGAGAAAGCUGGAGAGAGGAGGAUAAAGGGAUGCGUAACCUCCGCUUCGUUCGAUGAUAUAAUUAUAAAGAGUUACAUGGUAGAAUGCGUCUACGAGCUGCGCUUAUUAAACCAAAAAUUUCAUGCGCAUUAAAUUAAGAAUAGAUUGUAUGCAUUAUCGUGUAUAUCCCACAGAUAUUUUUCCCUGGUGAAUAAAAAAAAUGAAAAAAAAAAAAAAAAAAAAAAAAAAUGGAAAAAAAGAGAGAAAGAAAUAAAAAAAAAAGAGGGGGGAAAAAAAAGAAGAAAAGAAAGAUAAUGAAUGAACGAAAAAACUUGAAUUACCUUACGCACGCGUUUCGUUCGCGUAGCGUGCGUGAAAUUUUAUUUCUUUUUUCUUUUCUUUCCUUUUUUUUUUUUUUUACCUUUUUCGAGCCACCAAGCUAACGAUUCCGAUAUUGACACGGGACGUCAAGGUUUUUAAAACGGAAGAUUCUCCCUUCCUCUUUUGUUUCUUUUAUUUUUUAUCUAUUGUUUUUUUUUUCCUCUCUCUUUUCCUCCUCCCUUUUAAUAGGGCGACAAGCGCGUUAAUACACGUAUACGCGCACAUACACGCGUGUACGUAUUUAUAAUUCGACGGAAGAAAGAGAGGAUGAAAUAGGAAGGAAAAGCUCGUGGCUCGUCCGCGUGAAUGUGCAUCGUGGUUGCCGUGUCGUUGUCGGGAGAGAACGAGAGUGACAAGGUAGAAGAGAAGAGUUAUUAAAAUGUAAAUAUGAAUCGACAAUCUGUAACCCAGCGCGUCGCGUUAAGCACGUGUGGCGCUGCCGUGUAGAUAAACGUGCCUCGAAUAUUCGCGAAAGCGCGAUGACGUUCGUAAAUGGGCUCGGUGGAAAACUUAUUUCAACCAACUUUUUUAUCGCCAACAAUUCUAUCCAACCGCAUGGAACGUCAACUUUUUACGCUCGAUUUAACUUCUCGACUCGAAAAGCCUCCCGGUUUUUUUAUCCGCCGAAACGGAUAUUGAUAAAUAACGCCACCGAUUUUUAUCUCGUUAACGCGAUAAUAAACAUCUCGCCAUCGUAUAUAUAUUUUUUUUUUUUUUUUAAUAGAACAUCGUCCCUCGAUUCGUGCUCGUUCGGGAUGGUCGCGAAGUAAACGAGUACGACGCGAUUGAUUAAUCGCGAUUUCCGCGUAAUUUCGGCUCGCUCUUAUAUAUUUUUCAUUUCUCGACGGGGAUAGAUCCGAGCAUAUCGGACCAUAUUAUACGAAUCUGGUGGAAAUAAAAAUUCCUCGCCGUUCUGCUCCUGUUUUUUUUACCGGUGCCAGCCAUAAAUUUUUCUUCUCACCCACCCCUCGAAACGCUUUCCUCCUGAUCUCUCUUUUUCUCUCCGUGUCGACUGGCUUCACAGAUUUAUGGACUUAUAGAUUCUUUCUCCUUUCUCCUUCUCUCUCCAUCCCGUGGAUUUAGCUAGGAAUCUCGAAACCUCCUACGAUUCCCUUCGAAUCUAUUUCACUCAACCAUCUAUAUAUAUCGAAUAACAAAUAAUCUCGACAAUCA
rnacentral:lncRNA from 1 species